rnacentral:rRNA from 1 species
UACGAAGGGUGCAAGCGUUGUUCGGAUUUAUUGGGCGUAAAGCGCGCGCAGGCGGAUCAGCAAGUCAGAUGUGAAAUCUCGGGGCUCAACCCCGAACGUGCGUCUGAAACUACUGAUCUAGAGUGUUGGAGAGGGAAGGGGAAUUUCUCAUGUAGGGGUAAAAUCCGUAGAGAUGAGAAGGAACACCAGAGGCGAAGGCGCCUUCCUGGCCAACUACUGACGCUGAGGCGCGAAAGCGUGGGGAGCAAACAGG